rnacentral:misc_RNA from 1 species
UACGGAGGGUGCAAGCGUUAUCCGGAAUCAUUGGGUGUAAAGGGUGCGUAGGCGGGCGUUUAAGUCUGGGGUGAAAUCCUGCCGCUCAACGGUAGAAUGGCCUUGGAUACUGGACGUCUUGAGUACAACAGAGGCAGGUAGAAUUCGUAGUGUAGCGGUGAAAUGCAUAGAUAUUACGAAGAAUACCAGUGGCGAAGGCGGCCUGCUGGGUUGUUACUGACGCUGAGGCACGAGAGCGUGGGGAGCGAACAGG